CGGCGGACGGGUGAGUAACACGUGGGUGACCUGUCCUGGAGUGGGGAAUAACUUGGGGAAACUCGAGCUAAUACCGCAUACGCUCCCGUGGUUGCGACCAUGGGAGGAAAGUUGGCCUCUACACGUAAGCUGACGCUCCUGGAGGGACCCGCGCCUGAUUAGCUAGUUGGUGGGGUAACGGCCUACCAAGGCGACGAUCAGUAGCCGGCCUGAGAGGGUGAUCGGCCACACUGGGACUGAGACACGGCCCAGACUCCUACGGGAGGCAGCAGUGGGGAAUAUUGGACAAUGGGGGCAACCCUGAUCCAGCAACGCCGCGUGGGGGAUGAAGGCCUUUCGGGUCGUAAAACUCCUGUCAGUAGGGACGAAAAGCCCUUGGUCAAUAGCCUUGGGUCAUGACGGUACCUGCAGAGGGAGCCCCGGCUAACUCCGUGCCAGCAGCCGCGGUAAU
rnacentral:rRNA from 1 species